rnacentral:rRNA from 1 species
AGCUCCGGCUCGACUCUCCCACCCUUUGUGAACGUACCUCUGUUGCUUUGGCGGCUCCGGCCGCCAAAGGACCUUCAAACUCCAGUCAGUAAACGCAGACGUCUGAUAAACAAGUUAAUAAACUAAAACUUUCAACAACGGAUCUCUUGGUUCUGGCAUCGAUGAAGAACGCAGCGAAAUGCGAUAAGUAAUGUGAAUUGCAGAAUUCAGUGAAUCAUCGAAUCUUUGAACGCACAUUGCGCCCCUUGGUAUUCCGGGGGGCAUGCCUGUUCGAGCGUCAUUACAACCCUCAAGCUCUGCUUGGAAUUGGGCACCGUCCUCACUGCGGACGCGCCUCAAAGACCUCGGCGGUGGCUGUUCAGCCCUCAAGCGUAGUAGAAUACACCUCGCUUUGGAGCGGUUGGCGUCGCCCGCCGGACGAACCUUCUGAACUUUUCUCAGGGUUGACCUCGGAUCAGGUAGGGAUACCCGCUG